rnacentral:rRNA from 1 species
GGGAAAGUUGAAAAGAACUUUGAAGAGAGAGUUCAAAAGGGCGUGAAACCGCUUAGAAAGAAACGGACAGAGCCGUCUGUCGCCCUCGGAAAUCAGUCGCGCGUUACGCUAACGCAUCGCAGUAUUGCAGCGUGAGUGCAGCUGCGGUGUUAAAGUAGCGUUCGUGCGGCGCAUUUUUCGAGGGUUAGCACCGCGACCAGUACGAAAGGCUAACGGAGCUCGUCGGGAUUGAGGUCGAGGUCGAGUCUAUCUCGUAACCAGUCCUACGGGCGCCCAUCGUUAGACCGAAGUAUUGCGCGCCUAGUAAACGAUACGUCGGCUGUAAAUUGCUCGUCGAGCGACGAAGAACCGAUUCGUUAGCCGGUAGAUGCUCGCAUCUACGGGCGAGUAGGGUCGAUUCUAUAAUCGCCGACGACGUUCGACGUAUAGGCGUCGGCGGUGUCAGUGUCGGUCGCCUGUCCGACCCGUCUUGAAACACGGACCAAGGAGUCUAACAUAUGCGCUAGCUAUUGGGCGAAAAACCCAAGAGCGCAAUAAAAGUAAACGCUGUCCUACGACAGCUAAAGUGCGAUCCUAGAGAUACACUCUAGGCGCAGCACUGUCCCGUCUCGACCGCGCGUCGGUAGGGCGGAGAUAGAGUGCAUACGUUGGGACCCGAAAGAUGGUGAACUAUGCCUGAGCAGAGCGAAGCCAGAGGAAACUCUGGUGGAGGUUCGUAGCGGUUCUG